rnacentral:misc_RNA from 1 species
CAGCACUGCUCAAUCAAGCAUCUAAGCCUCCCCCCACACACACUCUCAGACGUUUUAUAUAUCUCUUUCUGCACACGAACACACACACACACACACACACACAUUCAUCAUUUCUAUUUUGCACGUACACAUCGCAGCCAUGACGGAGGAGAUUGUCGCCCCUGCCGUGCCGCAAUUCGAGAACGGCGAGCCCAGCUUCGAAUACGACCACAUCUUCCGUUGCUUCAAGGGGAGGGGCAACGGCCUGCUCUUUCGGAUGGUCAACACGAAGCAGAAGAAGUGGGCCUUCUACAACGACACGGCGGACACCAUCAUGCAGGUCAGAGCUCGUUUCAGCCCGGAUUGCAAGGUGGAGAAGCUCAACCGCGCCCGCGCGACACAAGUGCCGAUCGGCACGGAGGAACACCCAGACCUGUUCGAGACGGUUGUAACACUGGAGGUGCACCCCUUCGCGACUGAGCCGUUCAUCAAGGGUGAUGUGAACGGGUUCGAGCUGGAGUUUCACACGGAGCAGAUUCCGGUGAACGACGUGAAGUUCAUGAACCGCCACCGCAUCUUGCCGCGUUACGACAAGGUGUACAAGUGCUUCAAGAGCGAGGGCAACGGUCUGUUCUUCCGCCUUGUGGAUGAGAAGGACAACAAGUGGUACUACUACAACGACACGCACGAGUUCCGUAUGACGGCCACGGUCAGCUUCCCCAGCGCGGACGAGGUGAAGCCGCUCGGCAACACGGAGACGGUGCCGGUGCAGGACGAUGAAAGCGAGGUGGCCUACCAGAUCACGGUGGAGCCGGGCAAUGCGGAGCCGUUCAUUGAGGGCGUACCCGCCUCGUACCACCAGACGUUCAACGCGAACCCGAUCGACGAGAACUGCCUGGACCCGAAGGAUGUCCAGUACAUCAACGGCGAGCCGGACAGCAACAUCAUCGACCCCAGCCAGUGCAAGGUGUACAAGUGCUUCAAGGAAAACGGCAACGGGCUGCUUUUCCGCCUUGUGGACGAGAAGGCCGGUCGCUGGGCCUUCUACAACGACACGCAUGAGUAUCUGAUGAAGCCCAAGGUCCGCUUCUUUGGCGGAGCGGCCGUGGUGCCCGGACCGGACGCGCAGGUUUCGCCCGACCCGGAGGAAGAGGACACGGCUGUGAUCACGGUGGAGAUCCCCCCAUGCGAGACGCGCUUGUUUAUCGAGGGCCGCCCCGCAAAGUACGAGGUGUCCGUGGUCGCCGACAGCAUCCACAAGACCGCGCCGGAGGAGAGCCCGGAGUUCGUUAAUGGUGAGCCCGACCGCAAAGUCGUGAACUACGACGCCGUCUACCAAUGCUUCAAGGACAAGCCGGAGGCCCGACUCUUCCGCCUCGUCGACUCCAACCGCCAGCAAUGGGGCUUCUACAAUGACACGGCCGACGUCUUCUUCGUCGCGCGCUUCACCUUCGACGCCGAGGGCAAGGUCCGCGCCCUGGGUGACACGGAGAAGGAGCAGAACAGCGACAACGAGACCGAGUACCUUGUCUCCAUCCCACCAAUGGAGACGGUGGCGUUUGUUCAGGGCGACGUGAGGGGCUUCAAGUCGCAGUUCACUGGCAAGCGUAGGACGUCCGUGCCGACACCUGCGUAGAGAUGCGCACUCGUGGUCUAAGGGAGCUCGUGUACAGCACAGCCCUUUGCACUUUCCACCUCCCAUACGCGCGACGGAAGUGAGCGUAGUUGCGGCGUCGUGCGGAGAGUGACUGUGCGUUGCGAAGUAGAGGAGGGGAGGAGAGGGAAGGUGAGCAGACGGGGGGGAAGGGAAGGAGAGGGGGGUGUCGGCCGCGGAUGUGGCGCUUCCCACACAUCUCUGGCUUCGGUGCUUUUCCCGCCCAGCUCUCCCUCUCUCCCACCUCCUACCGCGUUGACACAUGCAAACGCUCAGGUCCGCCGCCCCCUCCUCUUCUCGCUCUUUUCUGUUUGUUCUUUGCUGGUGUCUUCUCUCUCCUUGUCUUUGGCAGGCCCGCAUGUGCGCCUGAGCUUGCAGGCUUGAGCGUCCGCCGUGCCCCCUCCCCCUGCAAACGCGGCGGGGUCGCGAACUAGCCGAUAGGACGGAGGGCCCAGGGGCAGAUCGCACGCACAGACAGACACUCACUCACUCUGAUCAGCGCGACCAAUGUGGUAGAACAGUUAGGCAUGGCAGGGAUGCGAUGACGAGAGGGCGUGCUCGUGUUCGUGUGUGUGUGUGUGUCUGUACGCAUGCUUUUGUGACAGUGCGCGGGCCUUUGAAGUCGAUGCCUGCAGAAGUAGAUGUUCGCUUCGCCUCCUCGUCGACGACAAGGCUACACGGAUGGGGCUGAGGCAGACGGCGGACGACAUACACACUGAUGUCAUCCGGAUCUCGAGCCUCUCGUGCCCCCAUCAUUCAUGUAUUCGCUUCUUUCAUCUUGAUACUUCUUCUUCUCAUGUGCCGCGCCCACCGUUAUCGAAGUAUAAUAUUCCGUGCGUAUGCAUAUAUAUAUAUAUACAUGUAUGUGUGUGUGUGCCCUUAUAUGUGAAUCUCAUCUCUGUUUCUUCCUGUUGCUGCUGCAG